rnacentral:rRNA from 1 species
GACGAACGCUGGCGGCGUGCCUAAUACAUGCAAGUCGAACGCAGUGGGGACGGGUGAGUAACACGUGGGUAACCUCCCAUCAGAGGGGAUAACACUUGGAAACAGGUGCUAAACCGAUACUGAUGGAUGGACCGGCGGUGCAUUAGCUAGUUGGUGAGGUAACGGCUCACCAAGACCACGAGGCAUAGCCGACUUGAGAGGGUGAUCGGCAACACUGGAACGUAGACACGGCCCAGACUCAUACGGGAGGCAGCAGUAGGGAAUCUUAGGCAAUGGACGAAAGUCUGACCGAGCAACGCCGCGUGAGUUAAGAAGGUUUUCGGAGCGUAAACUCCUUUUGUUAGGGAAGCGGUACCUAACGAAGAAGCACCGGCUAACUCCGUGCCAGCAGCCGCGGUAAUAC